rnacentral:rRNA from 1 species
UACGUAGGUGGCAAGCGUUGUCCGGAAUUACUGGGUGUAAAGGGAGCGCAGGCGGGAAGCCAAGUCAGCUGUGAAAACUACGGGCUUAACUUGUAGACUGCAGUUGAAACUGGUUUUCCUGAGUGAAGUAGAGGUUGGCGGAAUUCCGAGUGUAGCGGUGAAAUGCGUAGAUAUUCGGAGGAACACCGGUGGCGAAGGCGGCCAACUGGGCUUUAACUGACGCUGAGGCUCGAAAGUGUGGGGAGCAAACAGG